rnacentral:rRNA from 1 species
UACGUAGGGUGCAAGCGUUAAUCGGAAUUACUGGGCGUAAAGCGUGCGCAGGCGGUCUUGCAAGACAGAUGUGAAAUCCCCGGGCUUAACCUGGGAACUGCAUCUGUGACUGCAUAGCUAGAGUACGGUAGAGGGGGAUGGAAUUCCGCGUGUAGCAGUGAAAUGCGUAGAUAUGCGGAGGAACACCGAUGGCGAAGGCAAUCCCCUGGGCCUGCACUGACGCUCAUGCACGAAAGCGUGGGGAGCAAACAGG